rnacentral:rRNA from 1 species
GACGAACGCUGGCGGCGUGCUUAACACAUGCCAGUCGAACGGAAAGGCCCUGCUUUUGUGGGGUGCUCGAGUGGCGAACGGGUGAGUAACACGUGAGUAACCUGCCCUUGACUUUGGGAUAACUUCAGGAAACUGGGGCUAAUACCGGAUAGGAGCUCCUGCUGCAUGGUGGGGGUUGGAAAGUUUCGGCGGUUGGGGAUGGACUCGCGGCUUAUCAGCUUGUUGGUGGGGUAGUGGCUUACCAAGGCUUUGACGGGUAGCCGGCCUGAGAGGGUGACCGGCCACAUUGGGACUGAGAUACGGCCCAGACUCCUACGGGAGGCAGCAGUGGGGAAUAUUGCACAAUGGGCGGAAGCCUGAUGCAGCAACGCCGCGUGCGGUAUGACGGCCUUCGGGUUGUAAACCGCUUUCGCCUGUGACGAAGCGUGAGUGACGGUAAUGGGUAAAGAAGCACCGGCUAACUACGUG